CCUACGGGAGGCAGCAGUAGGGAAUCUUCCGCAAUGGACGAAAGUCUGACGGAGCAACGCCGCGUGAACGAUGAAGGCCUUCGGGUCGUAAAGUUCUGUUGUUAGGGAAGAACAAGUGCUAGUUGAAUAAGCUGGCACCUUGACGGUACCUAACCAGAAAGCCACGGCUAACUACGUGCCAGCAGCCGCGGUAAUACGUAGGUGGCAAGCGUUGUCCGGAAUUAUUGGGCGUAAAGCGCGCGCAGGCGGUUUCUUAAGUCUGAUGUGAAAGCCCCCGGCUCAACCGGGGAGGGUCAUUGGAAACUGGGAAACUUGAGUGCAGAAGAGGAAAGUGGAAUUCCAAGUGUAGCGGUGAAAUGCGUAGAGAUUUGGAGGAACACCAGUGGCGAAGGCGACUUUCUGGUCUGUAACUGACGCUGAGGCGCGAAAGCGUGGGGAGCAAACAGGAUUAGAUACCCUGGUAGUCCACGCUGUAAACGAUGAGUGCUAAGUGUUAGAGGGUUUCCGCCCUUUAGUGCUGAAGUUAACGCAUUAAGCACUCCGCCUGGGGAGUACGGUCGCAAGACUGAAACUAGAAGAUGACGNGNGAGAGNGCGAGACGACGACGAGGAGAG
rnacentral:rRNA from 1 species